UACGGAGGGUGCAAGCGUUAUCCGGAUUCACUGGGUUUAAAGGGUGCGUAGGCGGGCAGGUAAGUCCGUGGUGAAAUCUCUGAGCUUAACUCAGAAACUGCCAUGGAUACUAUUUGUCUUGAAUGUUGUGGAGGUAAGCGGAAUAUGUCAUGUAGCGGGUGAAAUGCUUAGAUAUGACAUAGAACACCCAUUGCGAAGGCAGCUUACUACACAAAUAUUGACGCUGAGGCACGAAAGCGUGGGGAUCAAACAGG
rnacentral:rRNA from 1 species